rnacentral:lncRNA from 1 species
UUUUUUUAACUUGUUGUUUUCACAUUUUUACAGGUAGAAAAUUCAAAGUGGGUCCGUGAAUUCGAAAAGUGCCCCUAUUUAUAAGUUGUGCUAACAGAGAAUAAAUGCAACUUGCAGACACCAUCAACGAGCUUCUGUCUAUGGAAUCCCAUCGAGAGUCAUCAAACAAACAUCGCAUGAAGCUCAUAGUUGUGCAUGUCUCUCUUGCUGCACUCUUUCUUCCGGAUGGAUCAGAUGACCUUAAAUGGGACGUCUAUUGUUUCAUGAGCGGAGAGGAUGACGCUAUGCCGAACCUGUAAGUCGAUCUUGAUCAACACCUUUUUAUUUUCCUCAAUUCUUCCGUGGUCUUGCAAGGAUACCAACGAUUCACGUUGCUAAAACCGGCCAAUUGAUUCUCCUCGAGGGGUUAUGAGAUACUGACUACUGAGCUUAGAAAAUGCGUGUCGAGAAAAACGAAAACCUGUGUCCCCCUACGUACCCAACGUUGGCCAGAUCUGGCCAACAAUCAAUUUUUAGCUUUUUCGAUCCUUUGACAGAAAAGAGUCCGCUCAGUUUAUUUCCCAUUCGCUGCAGAUCGUCGCACGAGGUUGGCAAUCGACCAAUGUCAACUAAUUCACUCGUUCGGGCUGUGGAAAAAUUAUUAUCAUUACGGAAUUGUUUAUUGCAGACGACAUUCAACUCUCCAUGGCCACCUCCUAACGCCGACUGUGGCCAGUUGGUUCCAAGUGAAGAACAACACACUAACACAGUCUCUAUCUGGCUUUGAAAAUUCCCUUCAGAUAUUGUUGUAUUGUUAAUUAAAUCAAAAUUAAAAAAAAAAUUACUUCAGUUUUACAGGCUGAUUCCACUAACCAACCUCAAAGAGUUGCUGCUUGAUGGCAUUACAGCCAUUCAUUCUUUUGGUGUUGGAGCCUUCAAAAAUGAAAAAAAUUAUACAUUCCUCAAUGUGACUUAAAAUUGCCUGUACGGAUUUGACUUAAACUCGUCGUCACUUAAACUGAGCUGAGAAAACUGGACCGACAGUAUCCCAAGACAGAGAUUCUCAACGAGUUUUGAGCCGUUUCAUCCAAGGAAUGGAAAAGCAGAUUGAAGAUUCCAGCUGGAGAUCUUUUAACAGUAGCCGUUCGCGAGAGAACAGUACAGAUUCCAGGAUUUCUGUGUUCUCCUCCAAGAAUUAAAGACUCGGAGGAUUACAUCAUCUCCAGCCAGAUAAUGUGACUGCUUAGGACCGCGAGCGUGAAGAGAGAAAUUCCUACCCGUUAAAUUACACCUUAAUAAAGGGAACUACAAUUUCCUUCUCCAUCGUGCAUCCAGUGAAUUGAGUGUAGUGGCAUUGAUUGACACACGUAAAUAAUAGUAAUACUUAAAGGACAGGAUCGGCCCUAGACGAAGUUUACACACCCGAUCCUCCUCCAACACACAGAACAACUAUUGUGAUUCGAUCGUACUUUCUCGGAUCAGCAGUACCCGGGGUUUCGAAAGUCGGCUGGCGGUUGGAUGGGGCAAUGUCCCCCUCCAAUCGAAAGCAAAGAUAGUCGUUCCGCUCAUGCGUUCAUCUGGGACACAGAAGAGGACAUCUGGCGGCCAGAUUUAUCUUCAGUUGUUGGGGGCAGGCUAGACGAAUCUUGAAGCUUAAGAUUUUGAAACCAUGCUGUCCACCACGUCGUCUACGUCCAGAACAUGAGUAACAUUUUACAUGUUCAAUGUUCUGAAAGGCACCUUCAAUACCAGGAACUUCAGCCUUCCAAUUGUGCUGUCCUCAUCUCAUUUACCUUGUCUGUGAACGUCAACAUGUACCCUAAUUGAAGGCAAGAAGACGAAUUUUGAUGCUGAAAGACUUGGAAACCAUGCUGUCGACCAUGUCGGGAAGCUGAGUAACAUUCUGCUUUUACAAUGGCACCUCUUAAUAAAAGGAACUUAAGCCAUCCAAUCUAGGGCUUCCAUAAAAUCGUGCAGGCUGCUUGGAAGUUGCAUUUACUUUUGUUGUGAACAUCAUGAACACAUACAUAAUUUGAAGGUUCAUGUUUACGUAUCAGUGGUGUUGCUGUCCAAUGUGGCGUGUUGUUGCAGCCUAUGGUGGUGAAAGAUAUCUGCAUCAAGUUGCUGUUCCUUGUGCAUCUAAGGUGCUGCUUUUGUGCUACAGAAGUGACAUCCAAUAUUGUGUUUAAUUGCUAUUUGUGUCUUCGCAGUUUACCUUUAUAUAUUGAGAAGGAAAAAAAAGUAAUACGGGGAGGUUUAUGUCAAAUAAAUAAUAAACAUGUCCAGGAUGGGGGAAUGAAGAGGAAGUUGGGGUGGGGUAUUUGGUUAUGAUUUACUAAAAGAAGUAAGGUAUAUUUUUAAUGAAUAUGCUGUACUUGGUGAUAAAAUCUGUUGUUAACCUUUACCUUCCUGUCAACCUAUACUUUCCACUUACACAUCUACUCCUCAAACUCCAUAAGCACCAACAUCAAAUCCCACAUCCACUCACAUCCAUUCCUAAAACCCCACAAUCUCUAACAACAAAUUUACACAAUUGUUGUGUAUCAAUAAUCAUAUUUUAUAUUUAAAUAAAUAAAGUGCCAUUGUAUUUAAAUCUU